CCUGUCGUGACAAGUUCAAAGUAGGAGUCUGAACUUGAAAUUCUUAGUAAACUAAUAUUCUAGUUCUAUCCUCUAAUUUUGUAAAAUUAAGGCCCACAGAGCCCAAAAGGUUUUUGCCACAGAACUGUCAAAAAACUGGCUUUGCAUCUGAUCCUGUCUUUUCUCCAAAGCAGACAAGCUUCAUAUCGAAGGGAAGGGUGGAGUGCCAAAUUCUGGGAGGCAUCUAGCUCCUGUCCUUCCAUAAAACAGCCACAUACCACGGCGGCCCACUUCCCUUACACCGGAACAUUAAAGCUGCACAAGCUUCUAACUUACGAUGUGAUUCACACUCGAUCAAAACUCAAGCCUCACUUACAAGCUUCUGAUCCUAACAACCAUUGCAUACAGGAUCCCCUCGGAGCAAGCCUCUCAGGGACCAAGAGUGAUGUGGUAAAGGAUCCCGCCCAGACCGAAUAAGACCGGUCUUUCCUUAGAAGCACAAGUAGCAUUUCACCCAUGCGGCCUUUCACCUUCCCGUCUGUCCUGGCAUAGCGCCUCCCGUGUCCUGGGUAGAUCUUGUACCCGCUGAAACUGCACAGCUCGACCCUGUAAUGAAAAACGAAAGCCCAUUAGAUGGGGAGGGGUGUCCUCGACAAGGAGAAGCCAUGUCUGGGAAGCCGGAGAGGCACUCCGUCCGAAGAUGGAAGAGGAUUGGGACCGAGGGCCCCUGCUUACUUCAUGGCUGCGUAGGGGCCGAGAGAAGGGAAAAUGGCGAAGAGAAAGAAAGAAUCAUGGGAAGACGCCUUAUAAGGUCGUGGAAAGCAACCUCCUCCCACAAUCCCCUUCCGCAACCCCGGCGCUCUGUGAUGACGUCAUCUCGCCUAGGCAACAGAUCUAGCGUUCCCCAGAGGCCGCCUUCCUCCGGAGUGAUUGCCCUGGAGACGUCAAGGCUCUCCAGGCGAUGGGGGAGUGACGGUCACGCAGGCAGGCAGGCCGGCAGGCAGUUGGUUUCCGAGUCAUUCUGUCUCCUACAUUCAUGUGUCACAGAGCCGUCGUCCUGGUGCAGGGAAUGUGAACUGAAGAGAAGGGGGUCCUCUCUUAUAGUUCAGUGAUGCACGGAUGAAUACUGCGCAGGUUACUUAAGAAAUGGCGGAUGCAAGAGGGAUACUUUGAACCUCCUCUCCGUCCCUCUGGAAGCAGGACAUAAAUCUCCAUAACUCCCUCACUAUAUUGUACCAGAAGGCAAAAGGCUCAGCUGCAUUUGAUUUUCUUUUAUGUAUUUAUGAAGCAAUACUGAACCAAAGUUGGUGCUCUCUGGGCCUCUAAAUACUUCCUGAGAACAGAGCAUUCUCUUCACUGUUUCUUCACCUUUUAUACAUACUCGCCUGCUGUAUUAGUAUCCUGUGGUUGCUGGAACAAAUUACCACAGAUUUGUUGGCUUAAAGCAUCGGAAAUGUGUUCUUUUGCAGUUCUGAAGGCUGGAAGUCUGAAACCAGUAUCACUGGGCUGAAAUCAAGGUAUUUGUGCUCGCUUCAGAGGCUCAGGGGCAGAACAUGUUUCUUGCUCUUCUGGUUUCCACCCAGAUAAACCCUUUUGAAUUCCUAACCCAUAGAAAUGGUGAGAUCAUUAAUGUUUCUUGUUUUAAACUGCUGUGUUUUAGGAAUAAUAUGUGAACAUAGCAAUAGAUAAUUAAUGCAGGAGGUAAGGAAAUUGUGAAGAUGGAGACUUGGUGAAUAGUGGUAUUUGUCAAAAGAGGACUGAUAGGAGGAAGGAGCGUGUUUGUGAGGGAAAAGGUCAGUUUGGGAAAGACCAGGUCAGUGUACCCAUCAGAUGUUAUGGUGGAGCUGUGUGGUGGGAAGAUAAACAAGUUCAGAGGAGUGUUUGGAAUAGGAUAUAUCUUAGGAGUAAUGGACCUAUAGGUGAUAGUAGAAUAUGGGGGAUAACAUCACCUAGUGUCACAGGCUGUCUUCUCUGGGAGCACUUAUUGAGACUGAGUUUAAAAUAAAAGAAACUUAUUAGGGGUCAGGUCCUAUGAAAGGAAGAUGGAGGAAGCAGUAUUAGGCAGAAGGUAAAGACAUUACUGGCCCAAUUAAACUUCCGUCAACCCUGCCAUGAGCUCUGGAACAAUCAUUGCCUGUCAGAUUAUCCCUUUAUGAGUCAAAUAAUCAAUUCUCUUUAUACCCCCACCUUGCUUAGUCAGCAGAUGUGGGUUGCCCCAGAGAGUUUAUGAGGUGGUUCUCAGCAGCUGAGCCAGACCCUACUGACAGCUGGAGAAUGCUGCUGACUACCAUGUCCACUGCUGGGCCACAAGCCCUUGCUUGUAGAGGGAUCUGGAGAGUGCAUCCUUGUAUCUACCACCCCUGGAAAGAGUGGCUAGAGAGAGUUGCAGAAAGGAAUUGGGAAGUACCUACAUUUAAGGGAUAGGGAAAUGGAGAAAGAAUCUACUGAAAGAGACUGAGGAGAUGAGGUCAAAGGAAAUAGAUAGCCCUGACAGUCAUCCCACAGAAGCCUAGGACAAGUUUUGACAGCAUUAAAAGUCAGAAACAGUCAAAGACAACAGGAAUGUGCAAACACGAAUACACACUUUGGAACGACUUAGGUACCAAUCUUAGUAUUUCCUUCCAAUAUCAUUCUCUUCUCAGGUGUGGGAGGGGUCCUGCCUUUUUAGUAUCUACAACCACAGUUCUCAGCAGGCCAAUCAAUCCCAAGACUCUCAGGCGUUGGCUUCCAGGAGGGCUUUGAAAGGAAGGCCUAGUAACUAGAUUAGAAAAUAACUAGGUGUAAAAAUUACUCAGUAAACACUUACGAAGCUUUCCUUAAAAUUCUGAAGCAUUAUUAAAUUUAAAAAUUUUAAAACAUUCUUUAAAAAAAUCUAAUCAAGCCUUCAUACCUACCUACCAAUUAUG